rnacentral:rRNA from 1 species
AUUGAACGCUGGCGGCAGGCCUAACACAUGCAAGUCGAGCGGUAGAGAGAAGCUUGCUUCUCUUGAGAGCGGCGGACGGGUGAGUAAUGCCUAGGAAUCUGCCUGGUAGUGGGGGAUAACGUUCGGAAACGGACGCUAAUACCGCAUACGUCCUACGGGAGAAAGCAGGGGACCUUCGGGCCUUGCGCUAUCAGAUGAGCCUAGGCCGGAUUAGCUAGUUGGUGAGGUAAUGGCUCACCAAGGCGACGAUCCGUAACUGGUCUGAGAGGAUGAUCAGUCACACUGGAACUGAGACACGGUCCAGACUCCUACGGGAGGCAGCAGUGGGGAAUAUUGGACAAUGGGCGAAAGCCUGAUCCAGCCAUGCCGCGUGUGUGAAGAAGGUCUUCGGAUUGUAAAGCACUUUAAGUUGGGAGGAAGGGUUGUAGAUUAAUACUCUGCAAUUUUGACGUUACCGACAGAAUAAGCACCGGCUAACUCUGUGCCAGCAGCCGCGGUAA